UGAGGACAGCCUUCCUGUAAAGCAGAAUGAGAAACAACCUCACUAGCUCUAAAAUAGAGCUGUAAAUUCUCAUACAAUAUAGCCGUCCAUGACAAAUAGGGAUUGGAACUGCUGAUCUCGCAUGCCCUCUGUAUGGCACCCCAACACAGCUGGGACUUCAUCAUCGGACACAUACCGCCAGAAAGAGCAUUCAUUCUGGAGAGGAAGCAUUUAUUCAUAUGCCAGCAUCAUAAACAAUGAAGAAAGAAGAAAACAUCCUCUGCACCACAAGAUGGUCAGUGGAAAUCCUGUAGAAAUCCUGUGACUGAUACAGUUUGGUUUAUAAACCAGGACAAAGAUUGAUCAGGAAUUCUUCAGACUUUCUUUGGUAUACCAGGAAAAAAAAGUAUAAAGUAGCUGGAAACCGGUAAAAAAGACUUUCAUAGAUGCUCCAAACUGACAAUCAUUACUGGACGUGGCUCUAUUUAUUAAAAAAAUAAACCCAAAACAUCAAGAACGAAGAUAUUUGUAGCAGCUGAGUAUGUAUGUGUGUAUGGAAAAUACUGGGCCAGCAGAAAGAACAAUACUGGAUAAAACCACCAAUGAAGAAGUUAAAGAACUCACUAAAACUCCAUGGUCAUUAAAAAUAAAGAAGAAAGGAUGGAAUUACUUGAAUUUACCAUACAAAAAAAAAUCUUGUCCAAGAAUUAUAAAUAUAGUAAAAAUAUUGAGCGUGUUAACUGCUAAUGGCCACAAACAGAGUAAUUUAUACGUCAAUGUUUUUAUAUGGAGUUUGAAGUGAAGUUGAAUUUUGAAUUACUUCAUCUUCCACAGAAAAUUACAUAAUCUUUAUUCUUAUAAGGAACUGAGCGGAUCCUAAACACUUUGUAAACUGCAUCUUUCUAAACUUGUAAAAUGGCAAGCUGACAUCAACCUCGGGCAAGAUCAAGGAAAGACUGCACCGUCAGAAAGGUAUUAGAAUGCAAUAACACAACAAAUGCCAAGAAUUUUGGCUCAUGGAUGCCCUGGGUAGGUGACAUAUCAAAAAAAGUAUCUGUGAAAUUUAUCUUUCUGAUGGGAGCAGUUCAAAUAAAAAUUUGACAAAACCUCUUUGAAUUA